UCCUUAAGAAACUACACUAAUAAUUUUAAAAAUAUUUAAAAAGAUACCUUUAAGACUUCAAUCUCUUUAUUGUGCACAUAAUAAAUCCGUGAAAUAAUAAAAAUUCCUUAAUUUUAGAGUUAACAUAUUAAAAAUAAAUUGUAACGCCCGUGAACCCGAAAAUCGGUUAGGGUUUGUUUUUAAAUCAUCCGGUUUAAUUGGUUGGGUUAAUUGGAAACCCUAAAGUGUGCCUAUAAAAGAAGGAAACUCAAAAUUAGGGCUUUAGUUAGCCACUUUUCGUUUUAUAAAGGAGAAAAAGAGAGAAAAGGAGAAGGAGCAAAAUCGUUAGGGUUUGGGAGAAAUCAGUUUCGUCAUAUCAAAUCGUGGUAAAAGGUAACGAAAUUUGGUAUAGUUAUUCCCAAGUCCUUUAUCGUUAUUCUCCAGUUUACAGAAUUGGAUUUGGAUUAAAAUUGGUUGAGUUAUUCGCAGUUUCGUGAGACACGUUUUCUCAGACGCGAAUUAGGACCAGCGGAGAUUGAAACUGAGAUCGUGGUCUCGUCUGUUUUCCGAUCGGCACGAGAUUUUGUGGGCAGCUCUGUGACGUCUGCAGAUAGGAUUUCACCGGAGAGAUAAUAGUUAACGGUUAGCUUGUAUUUUAGGGUUUCGUCUUUGAGACUGCUCGUUUCUGGGUUUUCCUGUCCAGUUUGCUUCAAGGUUGCUUUUGGUUGUGGACUCGUUGUAGGACGUUUCUGGACUGUUUCAGACGCAAGGAGAGUCUCUCCUGGGUUUAAUUGCUAUUAGAAUCAAUUUGUUAAGGUGAGUGCGUGACCAUGAGCUUAUCUGAGCGAUUGGGUUAUGUGAUUUGUUUUGUGUGAUGAUAUGUAGGUGUGGUGAAUGUGUUUUGGGUGAAAUAUUCAAUGAUUGGUUUGUUUGUAUUGUAUUCGUGAUUAUACCUUUGUAUUUGCUUGUGUGUAUAGCUCGUAGAUGGGAGGAUCGCCUCACUAAGUAUAUAUGAUAAUACUUACGCAUCUCAUUGUGUUGUUGAUGCAGGUAAAGAUAAAGUGUGAUCGUGGAAUCAUGGCAAGGAAGAGAGGAUGAUCUAGGAACUCGUUUGUUUUAUUUUUGGUGUUUUUGGUUAUUGGAACCCGGUUAGGAUUGUUAGUUAUUCUUGGUUUUGUUGGUCGAAUUAUUUAUUUAUUCAUAAAAUAGUAAUUUUGACUUGCGGUUUAAUUGUUAUUUUAUUGGUUGGUUUAAUUAGAUAUUUAUGGGAAUAUUUAAUUAUAUUUUU
rnacentral:sRNA from 1 species